rnacentral:sRNA from 1 species
GUGAGGAAAGAGUGUAUAUGGUAGGGAAGGCAAACUCAGUGUUUGAAGACCUUUCAGUCACCUUGCGCCAGCUCCGUAAUCGCCUGUUUCAAGAAAACUCUGUUCUCAGUUCACUCCCCCUCAAUUCUCUGAGUAGGAACAAUGAAGUUGACCUGCUCUUUCUUUCUGAACUGCAAGUGCUACAUGAUAUUUCAAGUUUGCUGUCUCGUCAUAAGCAUCUAGCCAAGGAUCAUUCUCCUGAUUUAUAUUCACUGGAGCUGGCAGGUUUGGAUGAAAUUGGGAAGCGUUACGGGGAAGACUCUGAACAAUUCAGAGAUGCUUCUAAGAUCCUUGUUGACGCUCUGCAAAAGGUAAAUAUCAAUGCGACAUGAGAGGUUGGAGUAUGACCAUUUCACUUUUAGCCUCUUAAUAGAAAAAUCUGCUGUUUCAAACACUGUUGAUUGAACUCUUAUUUGCCUUCUUUGGGGCUCCUCUAAUUAUAUUGGCUAAGGAUGGAGUAGGGUCAAAAAUGUAUAUUGAUAUAUUUCUUCCUAAUGCUAGAAAGAACAGCAUUAGGAAAAGUUAUCUCACACAAAGCUUUACAAAAU